GACGAACGCUGGCGGCGUGCUUAACACAUGCAAGUCGAACGGAAAGGCCCUGCUUUUGUGGGGUGCUCGAGUGGCGAACGGGUGAGUAACACGGGAGUAACCUGCCCUUGACUUUGGGAUAACUUCAGGAGACUGGGGCUAAUACCGGAUAGGAGCUCCUGCUGCAUGGGGGGGGUUGGAAAGUUUCGGCGGUUGGGGAUGGACUCGCGGCUUAUCAGCUUGUUGGUGGGGUAGUGGCUUACCAAGGCUUUGACGGGUAGCCGGCCUGAGAGGGUGACCGGCCACAUUGGGACUGAGAUACGGCCCAGACUCCUACGGGAGGCAGCAGUGGGGAAUAUUGCACAAUGGGCGGAAGCCUGAUGCAGCAACGCCGCGUGCGGGAUGACGGCCUUCGGGUUGUAAACCGCUUUCGCCUGUGACGAAGCGUGAGUGACGGUAAUGGGUAAAGAAGCACCGGCUAACUACGUG
rnacentral:rRNA from 1 species